UGAGCAAUCUGCCCUUCUCAUCGGAAUAAGCGUUGGAAACGACGUCUAAUGCCGAAUACGACCUCCUUUCGCAUGAUCGGAGGUGGAAAGCUCCGGCGGAGAAGGAUGAGCUCGCGGCCUAUCAGCUAGUUGGUGUGGUAAUGGCCCACAAGGCGACGACGGGUAGCCGGCCUGAGAGGGUGACCGGCCACACUGGGACUGAGACACGGCCCAGACCUCCGUACGGGAGCAG
rnacentral:rRNA from 1 species